AAGUCGUAACAAGGUAUCCGUAGGUGAACCUGCGGAUGGAUCAUUACCAAUUUUAUAUGUUAGUUUGCGCAUCUCUGUCAAAGGGGGUGUUGCAUAACUACUAUGUAAACGUUGAACUAGAUCAAUUGGUGUGGAUUGCUUGGGAAUGGACGAAGCGAUGAGCCUCUUCCGGACAGGCAAGCCCCACACUGAUAACCUUUUUCAUAUCAUUUACUCGUACAUACUACAAACAACAACAAAAGCUAUAAUAGGACUUAUUAACGGCUGAGUGGGUAACAUCCUCGGCUUAUACAUAUAACUAUUACAACUUUCAGCAAUGGAUCUCUAGGCUCUC
rnacentral:misc_RNA from 1 species